rnacentral:rRNA from 1 species
UACAGAGGUCUCAAGCGUUGUUCGGAUUCAUUGGGCGUAAAGGGUGCGUAGGCGGCGCGGUAAGUCGGGUGUGAAAUCUUGGAGCUUAACUCCGAAACUGCAUUCGAUACUGCCGUGCUUGAGGACUGGAGAGGAGACUGGAAUUUACGGUGUAGCGGUGAAAUGCGUAGAUAUCGUAAGGAGACCAGUGGCGAAGGCGGGUCUCUGGACAGUUCCUGACGCUGAGGCACGAAGGCCAGGGGAGCAAACGGG